UUUCACUUUGGGAUGAUAACACAGGUUUGGAAUGGAUACUGGUGAUAGUUGCACAACAAUGUAUUUCUACUUAAUGUACUUAAAUUUUCUCUUAUACAUAUUUCACCACAGAAAAAAAAUUAGCAAAUAUUUAAAAAUCUACAUGUUUCUUUGAACUGUUUCUUUACGUCCCUUGUCCAUUUUUCAAUUUGGCUGUUGGUCUUUUAAUAAUUUAGGAUAGCUAUAUAGCUAUAUAUAUACAUAUAUAUUACACAAAUUAGCUUUUUGUCUGUCAUGUAUGUUGCAGAUCUGUUUCCCCAGUCUGUUGACUUUUGACUUUGAUGCAUUUUUCUUGCCUAUAAAGUUUUAAUUUUUAUGGAGUCAAAUGCAUCAGUCUUCUAUUCAAAGACUUAUUUAUGGGUUUGGUGUUUCAGUUUAGGAUGAAAAAGAAGUUGUAGAUAUGGAUAAAGGAGAUGGUUGUACAACACAUUAUAUUGGACCACUCAACUGUACGUUUAAACAUGGUUAAAAUGGCAUGUAUCAAACCAAGAAAGCGGCUAGGAGGGCAACACAUCUACCUGUAUACAGGGAGCUAUGAAAUACGUGAGCUGCGCAAGUGAUGCACAAGGAAACGGAAGCAGUAUGACCUUUACACAGUGACCUGGCUCAAAUAAUUUCAGGCUGUCAUUAACCAGGCGAGCUCCACUUUCUCUCUGAGGUUGGGUGUUAAUCUGAUGUGGUGCUCUUGGAGAAGCUUGCUUGAGUUCGGCGCUUUCUCAGCACGUGGUGUGUGCUGCCCCUUCAAGCUGCAGGAGUCCCAGAAAGCUGGAAGAGGGGCUCCAGAAACUUGGGAAACCUGGGCCUGUAGCUGGCAUGUGGAAAAGAGGCCUGGAAAAGCACCAUUCCUGUCCAUGAAGCCCCCAGAUGGAACCAGGUCCUGUUCAGAAACCCCAUCUGUGCCUUUGGAGGGACUGCCCUGCGCACACAGGCCCAGCAACCACCAUCUACGGCCCCCAGGACCUAAUCCCCUUCUACUUGGGAUUCAGUGCAUGUUAGCAGACACUGGGCUUGAUUCCUGCCUAGUCCCUGCCAGAUAUCCCAUGCCCACCUCAUUAAGAGAAUGAGGCCACACAAACACACCCAGGCCAUCGUGAUGAUGGAGUGCCUGGGGUCCCACUUGCCCACCCUUCAUUGCUGGUUCAGAGCCAGCUCUGACCACAUUCCUACCCUGAGAUGGGACUCUGGGGACAUUGUCCACCAGGGUCACUGACCCCUUUUAACGUUCCAGAAACAUGGCCAGCUGGUCCCCUAGAAGUUU
rnacentral:lncRNA from 1 species